rnacentral:rRNA from 1 species
CCUACGGGAGGCAGCAGUAGGGAAUUUUGCGCAAUGGGCGAAAGCCUGACGCAGCAACGCCGCGUGAUCGAGACGCCCUUCGGGGUGUAAAGAUCUGUCAGUGGGGACGAAACUUGACGGUACCCACAGAGGAAGCACCGGCUAACUCCGUGCCAGCAGCCGCGGCAACACGGGGGGUGCAAGCGUUGUCCGGAUUCAUUGGGCGUAAAGAGUUCGUAGGCGGCACGUAAAGUCUGGUGUAAAAACUACCGGCUCAACUGGUAGUCGCACUCAAAACUGCAGCUCUUGAGUGAAGUAGAGGCAGGCGGAAUUCCUGGUGUAGCAGUGAAAUGCGUAGAUAUUGGGAGGAACACCAGUGGCGAAGGCGGCCUGCUGGGCUUUUACUGACGCUGAGGCUCGAAAGUGUGGGGAGCGAACAGGAUUAGAUACCCUAGUAGUC